UCAAGCUAUAAAGAGCGCAAGGGGAAUGCCUUGGCAUCAGGAGCCGACGAAGGACGUGACAAGCUGCGAUAAGCUUCGGGGAGGAGCAAAUAUCCUGUGAUCCGGAGAUUUCCGAAUGGGGAAACCCACUGGAGCAAUACUCCAGUAACGUGCAUUGAACAAAAUAGGUGUACGUGGGGAACCGCCUGAACUGAAACAUCUAAGUAGGGCGAGGAAAAGACAUCAACCGAGAUUCCGUAAGUAGUGGCGAGCGAACACGGAGAAGGCCAAACCGGAGGAUUUAUUCUCCGGGGUUAGGACUUGCAUCACGAUCAGAAGAAUCUAACAGAACGGCAUGGGAAGGCCGGCCACAGAGGGUGAGAGCCCCGUACGUGAAAGAGGAAGCUGACAGCGAGUAUCCAGAGUACCGCGGGACACGUGAAACCCCGCGGGAAAACGGGUGGACCACCAUCCAAGCCUAAAUACUACCUGAUGACCGAUAGAGGAGCAGUACCGUGAGGGAAAGGUGAAAAGGACCCCGGGAGGGGAGUGAAAGAGAACCUGAAACCUUGUGCUUACAAGCACUCAAAGCACGUUAAAGUGUGAUGAGGUACUUUUUGUAGAACGGUCCGGCGAGUUAUAGUAACGAGCAAGCUUAAGGUAUUCAGUACCGGAGGCGAAGCGAGAGCGAGUCUGAAUAGGGCGCAUAAAGUUCGUUGCCAUAGACCCGAAACCGGGUGACCUAACCAUGAGCAGGCUGAAGUGAGAGUAAAAUCUCAUGGAGGGCCGAACGCACGUUCGUUGCAAUGACCGGCGAUGACUUGUGGUUAGCGGAGAAAUUCCAAUCGAACUCGGAGAUAGCUGGUUCUCCCCGAAAUAGCUUUAGGGCUAGCGUUAUCUUAGAUUACCGGAGGUAAAGCACUGAAUGGGCUAGGGGGCGAUAAGCUUACUGAACCCUAUCAAACUCUGAAUGCCGGAUAAUUGAUGGAUAGCAGUCAGACAGUGUGAGAUAAGUUUCAUUGUCAAAAGGGAAACAGCCCAGACCCACAGCUAAGGUCCCAAAUGUAUGCUAAGUGGAAAACGAUGUGGAGUUGCGAAAACAACCAGGAUGUUGGCUUAGAAGCAGCCACUCAUUAAAAGAGUGCGUAAUAGCUCACUGGUCGAGUGACUCUGCGCGGAAAAUAUAACGGGGCUAAGUAUGCAACCGAAGCUUGGGAUUGUCUAAAGACAGUGGUAGGGGAGCGUCGUGUAUGGGGUGAAGUCGCAUCGGAAGGAGCGGUGGACUGUACACGAGUGAGAAUGCCGGAAUGAGUAGCGAGAAUUAUGUGGGAAUCAUAAUGGCCGAAAAUCUAAGGUUUCUUGGGGAAGGUUCGUCCGCCCAAGGUAAGCCGGGAGCUAAGGCGAGGCCGAAAGGCGUAGUCGAUGCACAUACGGUUGAAAUUCCGUAGCCACCUUAUCGAUUAAAAGCUGACACAUGGAGAUAGCGGGACCCGGGCGUUGGUUGACCCGGGCGAAAGGGACCGAAAUUAAGUAGGGAAGUCGGAGAAUGACGAGGCGAGAAAAGUUCUGGUGUAUGCUAAGGUGCCCGUACCGCAAACCGACACAGGUAGAUGAGGAGAGAAUCCUAAGGCCAACGGGAGAAGGGUUGUUAAGGAACUCGGCAAGUUGACCCCGUAACUUCGGAAUAAGGGGAGCCUCGAAAGAGGCCGCAGUGAAAAGGCCCAAGCAACUGUUUACCAAAAACACAGGUCUAUGCUAAAUCGAAAGAUGACGUAUAUGGGCUGACGCCUGCCCGGUGCUGGAAGGUUAAGAGGAGAUGUCAGGCAACGAAGCAUUGAAUCGAAGCCCCAGUAAACGGCGGCCGUAACUAUAACGGUCCUAAGGUAGCGAAAUUCCUUGUCAGGUAAG
rnacentral:rRNA from 1 species